GACUCGGGUCGUGGCUGACGACCCGACGGUUCGCCUGCGGCCGCCUCCAACAACGGUGGAAACCGCACACAGGGACCGCGGGCCCUCGGUGCAGCAAAUCGGAAAGUGCUGCGGUCGGCGGCCCUGGGCUCUGAGCGCUCAAGCGAGCAGAGGGGUGGAGGGGCUCUCCCCACCCACAGGAGGCUCUCGGCGGGGCGCAGCCAAUUCUGCGCGCCCAAGGCUCCCCUCUGCCGUGGAUCGCGUGUGCCGAGUGUUGGCCUCUUCCCCGAAAGGGCCAGACGGACCAAGGGGGCCUUCCCAGCCGGCUGCAAGCUCUCAGACGCUAAAAUGGGAACAAAGCUUCCAGAAAGGCAGCGCCUUUGGGCGGCCGCGCCCCGCCCAGCCGCGGGGGCCAUUGAUACAGAGGCUUGCUGCGCUUGGUGUGCGCGGCCCGGCCGGGCCUCUGGAAACGCCCAUGAGAAAUGAGCUCAUGCUGGAUGCGCGCGCUCCUUGGGCGCAACUGCCCAGCGCAAAACGGGCCCCGAAAGCAGGUGAGGGGAAAUGCCGUCAGGCCGGAUAUCCUGAAGCCUCCGAGGAAAUGGGGGGGUCAGAGGAGCCCGUGGUAGCUUUGGAUCUUUUGGAACUAGGGUGAUCUAUAAAAGUGCAGCUUGAGAAGAUUUCAUACAUAAGACCAGCGUCCAUUGUUCUACCAUAGAACCAGUUCCUUUGGUCUGCUUUAGAACAGUGAGGUAUGGCUACGUCAAGAUAACAGAGAAAGUAGAACAGACAGUUGCCAUCCUGAUUGUAAUCCAGUGGUGCCUGUAAUUUCUACCUGCAGAGUCAUCUCUUUCUGUUAAGAUGCUGUCUCCAGAAAGCACAUGUUAAAGGACCUAUAUUUGAUCA
rnacentral:lncRNA from 10 species